UCUGGUGUGAUGUCAUUAACAUGUUUUUCUGUUCUAAUUUAAUUUAUUUCAAGUGGCACAUUCUGUAUGUAUUUUAUAAAACCGAAUUUAAGACAAUGGUUUGAGACUGAAUUUAUUUCUGAGAGAUCUGUAUGUCCUCAUGCAUUAUUAUACUCACUUUCUAUACACUUUUCAACAUUGCCUACUCGAGUAUGUUUGCUUGCUAUAUCAGGUGGGCAUAUCAUUAAUUGAAAUAGUUCUGAGAAUGUUGUGAUUGCUUGCAUGUUGUGGUUCAAUCUUUUCAACCCUAGUAUCUCUUACUGAACUUGUGAAUUAUCCUUGUUUUCGUUGAGAACAUUAAUGUUCUUUAAACCUCUGUUUCAAAUGUUCAAUGUGUAUUUAUUUGUCCUGGAUUUCGUUGUUUUUCAAGAUUCAGAAGUGCAUCACCUGGAUUUGGGAAGGAAAAUGAAACUGGAAGUGAGGUCAGCUUGUCUCAGAGCUGAUUGUUGGUUGUGUGUGUGCCCUGGUGGUAGAUUUACAGUCCGUGAAUGAUAUAGUUUAGUUUGAAUUUGUAGUGUACAGUUACGCCUCGCUGCUACUAUAUUUACAUUGUAAUAUGUUUUUGUAGAUUUUACAUGGUUUUUCGAUGGGAAGUGUUUGGAUAGUUACUGAAUCAUUCAAAAGAGUUGCAUAGCAAGGAUUUGGUGAGAAAGUUCGGUCUUUUGGCUUGGUAGGAUAUGCAUAAAGAAAGCAGUUAAAAGCUACAUUCGGAGGAGGGAGUAUUGCCCUGUCUUGUCUCAACUGCUUGGAAUAACAGUGAUGUGGGUCUGGAAAUCGCAUAUAAACAAAACUUGCAUAAUUCUUGGUGCCAGCUAUCUUAGUAUUGUUUCUUAUUGGUAUCCAUGGAUGUCUUCAUUCAUCUUUGAUUGAAUCCACAGAUAUAUUGCACCGAUUCUUGAAGGAGCAUGAACAACCUCCACGGAAAGAAGGGUAUUGAUCUGUGGUGGAUGAUGGUAUUCACUGAUAGUGCAGAGAUUGACAGGAGGCAAGAUGAGGAGUUUUCAAGUCAAGGUUAGGCUAGGCAGUUAGUUGAGCGUUGUCCUCGGGGAGAAUGGCUCGACUCUACCCUUACACUAGUGUUCUGAUUGAGACUUGAGAUUGAAGAGAGUUGAAAUAAUAUUUAUUAAUUCAGGUCAGGUCUGGUCUGGAGUUUUGCCUUUUCUUGGUAUCAUUCAUGAGAUUGGGAUUGAGUUCAGAUUGAUUGACUGUCUGACUUUUUCUCUUUUUCGUAUGAUUCAUAUGUGGGAAUCUAUAGCCGCUGUUUGAAAGUGUGUACUGAGUAACUCCGGGCGGUAGCAGGUGACCUAAAAGCGUCGGAGGUUUAAAUCUAUGACCUCACAGUUAUAAGUCCAUCAGUUCACUCUACACCAAUAGACCAUCCCUUACUGGACGACGAUUGUCAAGACUCUUUAAAUAUCUGUGAGAGAGAGAUAUCUAUGGAAGAGGGAGUAUGUAAGGCAAGGGAAGUUUGCUUAUUUUGACCGGGAAAGAAGAAAAAAAAAUGCCAAUCAUAGUAGGCUUUGAGUCUUAGAGGGUGUAUCCAUUAUGACUCUUAGUAAGAUUUUUGUUGGAUUUUUAAAAUAUGAAUGUAUUGAAUUCAA